UAUAUCACUUUGUAGCCAAAUUUUCCAAAAUGCCAGAAGGGGUAACAAAGAAGUAACCAGUUGGAAGCUGAGGACUGGCAAAGUUCAAGACAAAAAUGCUUCUCUCCUUCGCUGGACAAAUAUCCUGGAAC
rnacentral:lncRNA from 1 species